AUUACUGCUGCUGUCACCGGUACACUACAGUGAGCCGCGCUUGCUCAUCAGUAAAAAACUCGUUUGAACGAGUUUACAACGUGUAUAAAAUCUUCUUCCGGGAAACCAGCUGUUCCCUGCUGGAUAUCUUACCGCUCUUAACAUAAUAAUAAUGAUCUGCCGUGAAGUACUUUUUCAAUGCUGACACGUCCUUGAAACGAAGAUGAAGUCGUCCUCGUGCUCUUGUGCCGGAGGCCAAUUCCCCAUACAGGAGGUCUUUGGGGUUUCUCCCAUCUGGUAUGCGAUGUAUAUGAUCGAGCCAAUGCAGACGACGCAGCUGGAGCAGGUAAGCAAGCUACUUACCACACAGCCACUCCUGAGAGACGUUUCUGCAGCCCACAUUUUAGUUAACCCAAGAGUGAUUGGAGGACCCAACAUGACUACUGAAAUUGAUGAAAGUUUUGUCACUAAAAGAAAAAUUGUGUCGGACGUCAACUACCUUAACAAUGAGUUUUUAGAGGUGUUUGUAGCGAAACGAAAGAGUGUCUAAUGUUUAUUGUCCCUGGAAAGUCUACGAUAACAUUUCUUCCAAUAAUAGAAAAUAAGGUACUACCUUCAUAAGUGACGAAUGGUCAGCAUAUAAAAAUAUAAUUAAUAUUGGUCAUUUUCAACGUCUCACUGUUAAUCGUUCUCUACACUUUGUCAAUCCUACUAAAAGAGCUCAAACCCAAAAUAUUGAAAGACUUUGGAAGAGUGUUGAAGAGAGAGAGAGAGUGAAAAAAAAAAGAUGAAAUGGCACUCACAGAGGCCUACUGGACUCCUAUGUGUGCGAGUUUAUGUGACGACAAGAGAUUGGAUUAAAAGUCUUAGAUCCUUUUGAUUCAGUACUUCAACACAUUGCUGACUUUUGGCCUC